AACAAACAAAAAAAAAAAACCUUCUUGAUCUCACCCAGAUGCAUGAUGAUUUAGUCUAAAUAAUUGUCUAGCACUAAAGCUUCAGACUCUGUUUAAACUAAUCCUUUGCUAGGUGAGAAGAAAUAUGGUUUAUUUCCAUUGUAUUGCUACCUAAAAUGUUCAGGAUUAGGAGAUAAACUUGUCCGGUAAUAAAUCAUGUUACAAGUUAAGUAGUCCAGAUACAAUGUUAUCUUACUUCAUGCAUCAAACAUGUCGCUUUAUAAUUAAGCACAGUUUGCUAUUUCCAUUGCAAACUCCCAUUUCCCCCACUCCAAGAAUUUUAACUCAUUUUAACUCAGCUGUCUGAGAUGCUAAAUAUUUAGGCUAGAUGAGAGAGAGACUGCCACCUACCUCCCUUGAUCACCUUCCCUUUCAGUACUUUUCAGUAGUAAAGGAAAAACUCUCACUAAAAUGCUGAUAUGAAAGUUAUAUGCUUCACCAUCCCUCUACAGCUUUUUCAGCAUAGGGGUGGAGUGGGGUUGAUUCUUCUGAGGGGGAGGUGGUUAGCAUAUAAGCCUGUUUGUUAACUUGAGAUAGAAUUUGGGGUUUGACUUUUUGAUACUUUUGUAUCUUAUACUAAUAUGUGUGAAGAACAAUGAACAAAGACACUGUGUUGCAUUUCCCAAAACCUGAUGGGAUUUUUAGUACAAUGGGAAGAGAUAAGGGAUAGAGCAGUUAAAGUGUUACAGGGUAUGGUGGGUGUGUAAUAUAUGAGCAUACACCGAAAGGCUGCCUGGCUCCUUUCUCAAGCCAAGGUCAAGCAACCAGUUGGGGUGGGGGAAGAGGCAUAAGAAACACUAAAAGCCAAAGAAAAGCCUGGUCUUGGCCAGAACACAACCUCACUCCUUACCCCUCCCAUGGGAUACAAAAGAGGUGGGAUAAAGACCCAGACCCGGACCCAUGACCCUCUAAAAUGGAACAUGACCAUAAGUUGUAAGGAGUGUGACUAGGGAUGUGCACUGCAGAUAUUUGAGCCUGCUAAAGAGGAGGAGAUGUGAAUGGAGAACAGAGACCUGCAGCAUCAGAGCAGGGAAGGGGGACAUGGGGUAAAUGCUGUGUGGCAUCAGAGCUGGGAAUGGAACACUGGGAAACAGACUCUGCCAGCAUAUAGAACUGUGGUAUACAUGUUUGCUUGGAACUAAACCCAAUAAACAUCGCAUUGCCUGCACUUUGGACUUCUGGUCAUCUGCAUUCUCUCUGCAUGACAAGAACCAGGGGAGAGGGUGAAGGGAAAGCCCUCUUAACAGUGGUAGCCAGACAGGAAGUGCAACUCUGUUGGGGCAACUUGCCCGGCCUCAUCCAACAGUGCUCUAGGACAGUAAGUAGGUCUCUGGUGCCCAAGACCCAUCCCUGUUGGAGGGGAAGCCCCCAGACUGGUGGCCAGAGGCAAACUGAAGAUACAGAAGCAAAGAGCCUCGUGGGCAUGAGCCACACCAAUGUAUACUAUUCUUCAAAUGCAGACCUGGUGACAUCUGAGACCUGAGAAGUAUCUAGAUACAGCAAGCAAUUUAGGACUGGUAACAGUUGUCGGAUUGAAAGCCUUGAAGAAUAAAACCCAGCACCAGAAGAAUAUAGACAACUAACUACCUGGUUGUUGUAAGAAAUGUUGCUUUAUUUGACUUCUUCCAGAGAGUUAUUCUUCUGGCUACUCUAACCCAUCUGUCCCUUUGGCAUGUAAACUGCACUGCUGAACCACUUACAACUUUAUAUCAUUUAUCACCAUCCAUUUUCAGACCUGCUUAAACCUGGUGUGUAACUUACACCUCCGUUUACAUCACCAUUCAGUUUAGUCCUAGUAUUUCUACUUAACCCACAUCUCUAAUACUAAGCCAUUUAGAGCUGUACCCUUUGUAGAUUUCACUGUAGAACGCCUAGGAGCUGAAUGAAGUCUAUUUCAGGGGGUUGCUCUAAGAAUUUUCAUGAUCAAAGGGAGAGAUGGGGAUGGUGGUGGGAAGUUUUCUCCUAAAUGUAUAUUUAAUGAUGUUAAUGUUUGAAUUAAUGUGUUUGCUGUAACAAUUAGUAUAAAAUGAGUUAAUUAUGGAACAGAAAUCAAUGGAGUCCAUGAUUCAAGAUGAUGAUGUGCCAUAACAACAACUCGGACUCCAUGUUGUUGCUCCUUCUUGCCAGAACUUUCACACCUUUUCAAACUAGUGGCUGGAAAAGAGCAACGGACUCUUAGGGGGCAGUUAGAACCAGCUCAGACCGCUAGGUUUGUGCCACUGAGCAUAUAAAAAGGGCUGCGUGCCUGAGCAUUCUUGCUCUCCACCAGAGCAGCAGCCAGAUAUCACAUUGAUUUGUGCGGACGUCGAGGAUCUCCUCAGUGACUCCGGACCCACACCAUCGCCCAAGAAGGCAUCACUUAUCAUCACUUACGAACUAUAACACCUGCCUAUAUCCUAAUUCCUGCAACCCCUUUAUCUGCAAUCCUGGUUCUAGUAGAUCUUCACUGAUGGUCCUGUGCUCCUCUCUCCCAUAGCCCAAGUCAGGCUGUGAAGCUUAGUUUGAGGUCCAGGAUUUGGAACUCACGCUCUCAAGCUACAAUGAGAUACACCACCAUCAGCUGUUUUGACUUACCUGAAGUUGUCGCCUCUGACUCAGUACAGUAUUGGGUUAGUUUGUGUUUUCCUUUUGUUUACUUUAAAUAUAGCCAAGGUUAAGGGUUGUAUGGGUCUCCGGGCUUCACGUCCAACUGGGGGCAGCCGCACUUGCAUUUGUAUUGGAUUGUUUAUUCUAGUUAUCAUUCCCCUAUCCCUGCGAUUGUCAAUUUCCUUAAUAAAUCUUUGUUAACUGUUUUCGAAGCA